UACAGAGGGUGCAAGCGUUGUUCGGAAUUAUUGGGCGUAAAGGGCGCGUAGGCGGUGCCACAAGUCACCUGUGAAAUCUCCGGGCUUAACUCGGAGCCUGCAGGCGAAACUGCUUGGCUUGAGUUCGGGAGAGGGAAGCGGAAUUCCGGGUGUAGCGGUGAAAUGCGUAGAUAUCCGGAGGAACACCGGUGGCGAAGGCGGCUUCCUGGACCGACACUGACGCUGAGGCGCGAAAGCUAGGGGAGCAAACGGG
rnacentral:rRNA from 1 species